CUCGCACCGGGUGUACGCUCUGGGUAGCACAUUGCUGCCACUAGCACUAAAUGCAUCUUGAAGAGAAAAAAUCUGGUGCUGUUUUGUCUUCAGACUGUUGAUGGCAAGUGAAUGUGUUGGAUGCCUACUUAGGGUUGUGUCUGCAAGUCAGCAGCAUCUUUGCACACGUGUCUAACACUAAGGCUGAAGUGGUGGAUCUGCUGAGAGGUUUGAAGUUGCUUAGCCAAACUGAACAGGGGCUAUCUGGGCGGAGAUGUGAUGGAGGGGAUACACACUGGAAAUGUGGUUAUUGUACACGGUGACAAACUUGAGUUCCCCCAGUAUCUGGACUUGGAAGCUCACCCCACAGCUGGAUUGAGACCGCAAUGCCAGGAAGGACCAACCUUUCUCCAUGGCACAGCUCUACAGAGGGCUCCUUCUAAACAGCACCCUAAAUACAGCCAACAGACUGAGCUGCAUGGAAGAAGGAACAAGAUAACUUGGAUUGACAGAAGAUUAACCACACAGGAGCCCAGUGAAGUGUCAUGGGACCCAAUAUAAUAGUCUCGUGAGUGUCCAGACCAGGAUGCUGGCAGAGCUAUUUUUUUUCCAGGCUGGUGCUUUGUUUUCCAUGUUUGUAUGUCUAGAUCUAUGUAUUUUACUCUAGAAUGAUCUUCUAGGCAUUCUUCAGCUCUAUGAGUCCUCUCAUAACAAUCUUUGUUCUUGUGCUCUUCUUGGUCUGUGUUUGGAUAACGCCUAACACAAUCUGGUCUGGUGUUCUGAGAACUGAACUGCUGCAACUAUGGAAGUGACUAAAUCUGCGAGGAGGAACAUUAAUGGAGGCCAAGUUUUUUUUCAAGUGUAGGUCCCGGGAUUAAGCUCAGAUGGCUAAAGAAGAGAGUUUACAACGAACUAUUUCUCCAAGUAGGGCUUUACAUGCAUUAUUGGAACAUAAUAUGCUUCAGAUUACUAUCUAUGUGUCAAAUUCGGAUGGAGUUUGGUCAGCAAAUAAUUAAGAGACAGAUGGUGAAACAGAGCAACAUGGUAUGACCGGGGGAAAAAAAAUUCCUUAGGAAACCAGGUUCACAAAGACAACAGUAAAAUGGGACAUUUGAAUUUAUGUGAUACAUUCUCAUUCCACAUCUUUCCUUCUGACAGUUCACACUUUUCCAGAAGUACCUACCCUUAUUGUUUUUCCCAUACCAAUUAGUAUCAUGUUUAAUUAAAGUCACACCUCCCAGAUUCUUAGAAAUAGAAUUACAGUGUAUAAAAUAAUGGACUACAGUAAAUUAAUUUGAGUUUAGAAGAGUAAACACAAAGCACAUUUAAGAUACUGUCUUAAUAAUAAUAACUAUAUUGCAAUGCCCUUGCACAUCCAGAAAAUAUCUUCUACGCUAUGAUACUACUAGCUAAGUUCUAUGAUUUUUUGAUUUUUGAGCAACAGCAAUUCCAAAUUUCCCAUAAAUCCAAGAAUUAUCAUUGUAAGCAACCCAAGUCCAGUCACGUAGCACCAUCUCUAGUAUCAAUGCACCCCAGCAUCCAUUCAACAACCUGUGGAAUUCAAAUCACUGUCCGAAAUUAUACAUUUCUCUGGUCCUUUCUACUCAUGAAAUACAGUAAGUUGGCUAGGAUCAGAGACUUCUACUGUAUCUUUGUUCCCACAAGAAUAUGCUUUUUGCCCAGGACUACUCCAUGCAGAUUCUCUGAGACUUGCUGGUUACUUCCAAAUAAUUGUUCUUCAACAGUUUUCUGCUGCUAAUAAAGUCAUUUGACCAUGUAACGGAGCUUUCAUUCCUUCAUUAAACUUGGAAUUUUUAACAUCCUGAAUCCUCUCCUCUUUAGCACACAUUUUCUGAGCCAAAUCAAUCAGCUUUCUAAAACACACCUUUUUUUUUCUUUUUUUUUUUACUUCUGGAAAUGAUAGAAGUUCUUGAUCUCUCUUUUAACAAGAUCACAUAUUACUACUUGUUUUUCAUGAGAAAAGAGUUGUUAGCCAUAUUGUUCUGGUCAAAUUUAGUUUUGCUAUUAUUUUUUACUCUUCCUACAGAUUCAGCUGGAUUUGUUUUUACUCAGCUACAGGUGUGGAACUGCUGAAAUGGGCUUUUGUAUGUUAAGUGAUUUCUAUGAAUCAAAGCUUCUAUACCAGUAUCAGUCAUUAUUUACUUUCCAACUUCAGGUGACAAUUAGCAAGAGAGAUUUGAAAUCUUCUCAAACGCAAUAUAUUUUGCUUUGGCAUUUCUGGAGUUUUAAAUCAGAUUUACACUUACAAGCUAGCUUCAUGGUUCCAGUCCCCAGCCCUGCUGAAACAAGCUUUAAAGAAUAACAGUGUUUGUUUAAACAGGUGUUCAACAGAUGACAGAAGCGAUGACCCCUUCAUACGAAUAUGAGUGACAUUUAUGUAAAAAAAAUCAAGUUAUUCUAAAAGGCUAAAGAUGAUAAGUGUCUACUUUUUUUUCCUAGCUCACUUCUGAAUACCAGUAGCAGGAAAUGUAUUGUGGUACGCUGUGAUUUAUUUUUAAAGAAAUAUACAUCUGACUGUACCAGCUGCUUUGCUAAACAUUGUUUAGCUCUUCCUCAGUAAUAAUCAUGUAAAGCCAUGUCAAAAGUGUUAAUGUUUACAAGAUACCCUCAAAUAAAAUACUGUAACAAUAUACCCAGGGAAAUGGUACCUAUGAUAUACCUGUUAUUCUGCGCAGUGAAUGUAUAGCAGGGACAAACGUUGCUCAUAAAAUGUGUAAAUUAACAUGAUGAUACAGAUGAAACAAAACUAUAUUCCCAUCUCAAGCCAAACCUAUUUCAGGCUCAGUAAACCCUGCUGGAACUUUGUUGUGCUUUCUCCCCAACCCCCACUCCUUUAUGCUCGAGUUUAAGCAGAAGCAGGGUGCCCCAUGAAUCUCAUUAGGGAGUGUAUUAGAAAGUGUAUUCUUGCAAGACUUCCAAACUACUUUAGGAUGUUCUGAAACCUUUGCUAAACACAGUUGAAAUAUUUUUUGUGUUCCUUUCUGACCAAGUUAUAUGAAACAGUUUGAGAUAUAUUUUAACAGCAAAAUCUCUUACACAGGAAAAUAGUUUUGUAAGAUUAGAUACAAAACUUUUAUUUCUUUAGUUUUGAAGAAACACUUUCUGAGGUUUAUAAGUUAUCUCCUUCCUCAACAUUUCAAAAGGUGAAAUUUGCUUAUAUGCAGUGGAGCAUUUUAAGGCCUCAGUUCACCACAAUUCCUAGUGUAAUUAUAUAGGAUAUAAAAAUUGUAGAGGCUAUUUGUUACACUUUUGUACAAGGCUGUAUGGCCAAAUAUCAAAUCUAAUAAAACAAAGGGAAACUGGUGAUGGGAAGACUACUGCAUCUCCAUCUUGGAAAUGUUCCACCAUUUCUCUUUUUCUUUCUUUUUCCUUUCUCUCUUUUUUUUAUUUUUUUUUCUUUAAAACCAUGGCCCAUAUGAUAUGCGACAUCUCUACAUAGACUCUCAAGCAGAUUUGUUUUCAUGUGUGCUGCAGUAGUAUCUACCUAUACACUGCAAGCCAAUGAAGUCUAUCUACAAAAAUGAAAAAUAGAACAGAUGAAACCAUGAAGAUCUAUGAAAAAGUGAAGCAGAAUACUGGCUAGUUUUCAGUAUAUAAUGUGCUUCUCAGAUCUGCAGCCCAUUGGAAAUACUGCCUAAUAGGCUGAUAGUGCCCUGAGAUAACUUGCACAGAGUUUCUGCACAAGCAGAAAGGAUUCCUCUUUACUCUGUUGAAGAGCAACAUUUAAUAAACUUUCUCUUAUAAGUCUCCUUCAGCUAUUAGCAGCUGAAAGACUGUGGGUUUGGGGGUAACUUAUAGGUUAUGCAGGCAAAAACAUGUCAUUAGCAAGGCCAGUAUCAAAUGUAACUGUAAAUAAUGAAAAUUCAACUUUUACCCAUAGAUCAUUGUUUGUAAUUUUGAAAAGACACGUUUAGAUAAAUAAUUUUUCUCCUCAAGAGUGAGAAAUUAAAUCUCAGCUUUAAGAUUGUAUUUCAGCACCAUAUUUCAGCAUUUCAAACUGCUUGGCAUGCUGUUUUUCACAGGACAUAGGAAUGCACUCUGGGCUCUGGUUGACCACUCAGGUAUAUUAUGCUCACUUUCAGAAAGAAACUAUCUGUUAUGCUAACAGU